GAUGGACGCUGGCGGCGUGCCUAAUACAUGCAAGUCGAGCGAACAGACGCGGAGCUUGCUCCUCUGACGUUAGCGGAGGACGGGAGAGUAACACGUGUAUAACCUACCUAUCUGACUGGGAUCACUUCGGGAAUCCGGAGCUAAUACCGGAUAAUAUCUUGAACCGCAGGGUGCAAUGGUGAAAGACGGUUUUGCUGUCACUUCUAGAUGGAUCCGCGCCGGAUUAGCUAGUUGGUAAGGUAACGGCUUACCAAGGCAACGAUGCGUAACCGACCUGAGAGGGUGAUCGGCCACACUGGAAGGGAGACACGGUCCAGAGUCCUACGGGAGGCAGCAGUAGGGAAUCUUCCGCAAAGGGCGAAAGCCUGACGGAACAACGCCGCGUGAGUGAUGAAGGUCUUCGGAUCGUAAAACUCUGUUAUUAGGUAAGAACAAAUGUGUAAGUAACUAUGAACGUCAUGACGGUACCUGAUCAGAAAGCCACGGCUAACUACGUG
rnacentral:rRNA from 1 species